UACGAAGGGGGCGAGCGUUUGUUCGGAUUUACUGGGCGUAAAGGGCGCGCAGGCGGCUUUGUUUUGUCAGGCGUGAAAGCCCCGGGCUUAACCUGGGAACUGCGUUUGAUACGGCAGGGCUAGAGUUCGGGAGAGGAGAGUGGAAUUCCCAGUGUAGAGGUGAAAUGCGUAGAUAUCGGGGAGGAACACCUGUGGCGAAAGCGGCUCACUGGACCAUUACUGACGCUGAUGCUCGAAAAGCUAGGGGGAGCAAACAGG
rnacentral:rRNA from 1 species